GACGAACGCUGGCGGCGUGCCUAAUACAUGCAAGUCGAGCGAAUCGAUGGGAGCUUGCUCCCAGAGGUUAGCGGCGGACGGGAGAGUAACACGUGGGUAACCUGCCUGUAAGACUGGGAUAACUUCGGGAAACCGGAGCUAAUACCGGAUACUUUCUUUUCUCGCAUGAGAAGAGAUGUAAAGAUGGUUCUGCUAUCCCUUACACAUGGACCCGCGGCGCAUUAGCUAGUUGGUGAGGUAACGGCUCACCAAGGCGACGAGGCGUAGCGGACCUGAGAGGGUGAUCGGCAACACUGGGACUGAGACACGGCCCAGACUCCUACGGGAGGCAGAAGUAGGGAAUCUUCCGCAAUGGACGAAAGUCUGACGGAGCAACGCCGGGUGAGCGAAGAAGGCCUUCGGGUCGUAAAGCUCUGUUGUUAGGGAAGAACAAGUAUGAGAGUAACUGCUCGUACCUUGACGGUACCUAACCAGAAAGCCACGGCUAACUACGUGCCAGCCGCCGCGGUAACAC
rnacentral:rRNA from 1 species